UUCAAGAAGAGUUUCAGAAUUUUUGUUGCUCUUGUAUCUAACACAAUCCUGCAUAAACAAAACACAAAACCCUAGAAAAUAUUGUUAGCACAAAAAUAAAUAAAAAAAUAGAAAUUAGGGAUUUUAAAAAUAAAGAUAAAAAUGUGAAAAAUAAAAUAAAAUAAUAUAAAGCCAAAAUUACUCAAGAGUAACACAAAUAGAAUAGCUUAAACCGUGAGUCCCCG
rnacentral:lncRNA from 1 species